UCACCCGUGGGGUAACAGUAGCCCACCGGAUUGUUAAUCCGCGCGGUCUUGGUGCGAAUCCAAGCGGGUGAGCCA
rnacentral:tRNA from 1 species